rnacentral:rRNA from 1 species
UGCGCAGGCGGAAUGAUAAGUCAGUAGUGAAAUCCUGCAGCUUAACUGUAGAACUGUUAUUGAUACUGGUUUUCUUGAAUAUAGUUGAGGUAGGCGGAAUGUGUAAUGUAGCGGUGAAAUGCUUAGAUAUUACACAGAACACCGAUUGCGAAGGCAGCUUACUAAGCUAUGAUUGACGCUGAGGUACGAAAGCGUGGGGAGCGAACAGGAUUAGAUACCCUGGUAGUCC